CCUACGGGAGGCAGCAGUGGGGGAUAUUGCACAAUGGGGGGAACCCUGAUGCAGCGACGCCGCGUGGGUGAAGAAGCGCCUCGGCGCGUAAAGCCCUGUCAGCAGGGAAGAAAAUGACGGUACCUGAAGAAGAAGCCCCGGCUAACUACGUGCCAGCAGCCGCGGUAAUACGUAGGGGGCAAGCGUUAUCCGGAUUUACUGGGUGUAACGGGGGCGCAGACGGCGAUGCAAGCCAGGCGUGAAAGCCCGGGGCCCAACCCCGGGACUGCGCUUGGAACUGCGUGGCUGGAGUGCAGGAGGGGCAGGCGGAAUGCCUGGUGUAGCGGUGAAAUGCGUAGAUAUCAGGAGGAACACCGGUGGCGAAGGCGGCCUGCUGGACUGCAACUGACGUUGAGGCCCGAAAGCGUGGGGAGCAAACAGGAUUAGAUACCCUUGUAGUC
rnacentral:rRNA from 1 species